rnacentral:tRNA from 1 species
GGCAGUGUAAUAUAAUGGGUAAGGAACUAGUCUUGUAACCUAAAGGUCACAGGUUCGAUUCACUGCCGUUGUAC